rnacentral:rRNA from 1 species
CCUACGGGUGGCAGCAGUCGAGAAUCAUUCACAAUGGGGGAAACCCUGAUGGUGCGACGCCGCGUGGGGGAAUGAAGGUCCUCGGAUUGUAAACCCCUGUCAUGUGGGAGCAAAUUAAAAAGAUAGUACCACAAGAGGAAGAGACGGCUAACUAUGUGCCAGCAGCCGCGGUACUACAGAGGUCUCAAGCGUUGUUCGGCAUCACUGGGCGUAAAGCGUGCGUAGGCUGUUUCGUAAGUCGUGUGUGAAAGGCGCGCGCGCAACCCGCGGACGGCACAUGAUACUGCGAGACUAGAGUAAUGGAGGGGGAACCGGAAUUCUCGGUGUAGCAGUGAAAUGCGUAGAUAUCGAGAGGAACACUCGUGGCGAAGGCGGGUUCCUGGACAUUAACUGACGCUGAGGCACGAAGGCCAGGGGAGCGAAAGGGAUUAGAUACCCGUGUAGUC